ensembl:snoRNA SNORA70 Small nucleolar RNA SNORA70
AUGUAAGAGCUGGGCUCCUUUGCUGGUGGAUGCCCAGUGUGCAAUAGCUAUGAACAGCAACUUCCUCUAGUGUAUGUGGCCUGUUGCUCAUACAGGCUGCCCUAAGGGACCUUAGUGAUACUG